ensembl:snRNA U6 U6 spliceosomal RNA
GUGAUCUCUUCGGCAGCACAUAUACUAAAACUGGAAUGAUACAGAGAAGACUAAUGGCCCCUGUGCAAGGAUAACACGCAAAUUCAUGAAGAGUUCCAUAAAAAA